rnacentral:tRNA from 1 species
GGAAAUAUGUCUGACAAAAGAACUACUUUGAUAGAGUAAACAAUAGAGGUUAAAAUGCUCUUAUUUCUAGAACUACAAUAGAGGUUAAAAUCCUCUUAUUUCUA